UCUUAUGGAUGAGCAAAGAAAGUGGUUUCUUGAGAUGGAAUAUUCUUCCUGUGAAGAUGCUGAGAA
rnacentral:pre_miRNA from 1 species